UACAUCCUUCUGAUUUGUAUUGGACUGAUGAAGCCACUGUGUGGUGAAACGUUUCUUCAUUAAAGAUUCCCAUAUGUUGCAUAAGUGUCUCAAUCUUCAACUUGUCAGUCUUGAACCAAUUAUCACAACGUACGUAUUUCCUAAUGUCCUAAAUGCUGUUCAGUGAUUCUACCUUAUGUUUAACCUAAGUGAAUGUUUGUCUUUCAUUUAUUUUUCAAUACUGCAGGUUAAUAACCUACUAUAUAUUCUGUACUGUUAAUCAUCAACCCUGACAUACACAUGGAAAAUUUCUAUCAUAGCCAAAAUAGUUUUUUGCGACACAAUUCUUGGGAACAUAUUCUACUGCAUUAUACGAGGAUUUAUUGUAUUCUCAAAAUGCUUAAGCCAUAGAAUGUGUUUUUAAAGAAUCAUUUCAUUUCAUUACUUUUAUGCCCUUUUCUGGUCCUUCAUGUACAAUCACCAAAAUAAUUUAUCUGCACAUGAUUACUGUAAAAUUUAAUUUUGUCUCUCCUCCAGGUCACUCAGUCUGUGCUUAUCAGCUUCAGAAAUAUUCUCUAAAUAUUCUAAGAUACUGUAAUUAAAAACUAAGUUUUUAUCAGAUAAAGCCAGUGAAAGGAUUGAGUUGGGGGCAAGCUGCUAUUGGAAAUGCAACGUGGAGUGGGGCUCGCCUUUGUGAAGUUCUGAAAGACCUGGGCAUUGAGGAUGGUAAAACAGAUGCCUUGCAUGUUCAGUUUGAGGGCCUGGACACUGAUUCUGCCUAUAUGCCUUAUGGUGCAAGUAUUCCAAUUGAAAAGGCAUUAGACCCUCAUGGAGAUGUUAUUUUAGCAUAUGAGAUGAACGGAAAGCCCCUUUCUCGGGAUCAUGGAUAUCCACUCCGAGUUAUUGUACCAGGAGUAGUUGCUUCUAGAAGUGUCAAGUGGCUUGGUCUUCUUGCUUUGGUGGGAGAUGGCUGAUGUGUUAAUAAAAUAAAUAUUGUCUGUUA